CCUACGGGAGGCAGCAGUGGGGAAUUUUGGACAAUGGGCGAAAGCCUGAUCCAGCAAUGCCGCGUGUGGGAAGAAGGCCUUCGGGUUGUAAACCACUUUUGUACGGAACGAAACGGUUCGCUUUAAUACAGUGGGCUAAUGACGGUACCGUAAGAAUAAGCACCGGCUAACUACGUGCCAGCAGCCGCGGUAAUACGUAGGGUGCGAGCGUUAAUCGGAAUUACUGGGCGUAAAGCGUGCGCAGGCGGUUGUAUAAGACAGUUGUGAAAUCCCCGGGCUCAACCUGAGAAUUGCAUCUGUGACUGUAUAGCUAGAGUACGGUAGAGGGGGAUGGAAUUCCGCGUGUAGCAGUGAAAUGCGUAGAUAUGCGGAGGAACACCGAUGGCGAAGGCAAUCCCCUGGACCUGUACUGACGCUCAUGCACGAAAGCGUGGGGAGCAAACAGGAUUAGAUACCCUGGUAGUCCACGCCCUAAACGAUGUCAACUGGUUNUUGGGUGNNUAGUACUCAGUACGAAGAUACGCGUGAGUAGACGCCGUGGAGGUACGGCCGCGAGUAGUAACGUAAAGUAAGUAGAGGCGNGAGAGUGCGACGACGACGACGAGGGAGGAGG
rnacentral:rRNA from 1 species